AUGGAGAACCUCUUCAUGCAGGUCUUCGAGCGCCGGGACUGGGUCACCGGGCAGAUGCGCCAGCAGGUCGACUCCCACGCCGAGUCCCUCGCCUGCGCCUUCCUCGCCGCCGGCCAUCGCCCCCCGCCGUGGCUCCUCCCCUCCUGCGCCGCCGGUCCGCAAGAGCUAAAUGGUAAACCAAUUGUUCCGGGGUUACUUUUUGCUGGAAGCCAGAUUACUACACCAGCAACCAACAGAACAGUCUUUCAACCUCCAGCUGUGCCUAGUAUUUCACUCAGAAAUAUGGAGGUUCCAGAUGGAUACGCUGGUCUAGACACUAUUUGUGAUACCAUGGAUACUAACCAACAUGAAGUGCCUCAGCAAAAACAGGUUUCAGUUGACCAGGAGGUUGUUGAGGCUAAUUCUGAUGUCAACAUGUUCUCUGUGGUAAAGCGUUCCAGGUCAAGGCAGCGGCAUAUUGAAGAUCGCUCGCGGGAGAAGGGUCAAGCUACAAAUAGUGGAACCAGUGAUGUUAUGCAAGACAGGAUGCAGAGGUCUGAACUUGCAACUGCAGGUUCGAACAAAACAACUGCAUCAUUAUCGUCCAACCCAUGUGGUGAUGGUGAAAACAAUGCUGGAAGAAUGGCCUCUUUGCCAUGUCAGGAGAAAGGUUUUUAUGCCAACCAGGAUAGAUCAACUGAAUUCGUCAAGUGCAGUAAAGAUGGUGAUCUUGGAAAUCAAGGAGUUCAGUUAGAUUGUUCUCAAAACCAGAUUGUUAGUUCUGAUAAUAAUGUCAAGGUUUCUGUUAGAAGUUCUUUUGGAGUGCAAGUUACAGGCAGCGUGUGCCAUGCACUCCCUGAAACUUAUCUGUCGGUUGAGCCGAAAAAACUUCAAUUUGAUGGUGUUGAAUCAGUUUGUAUGAAUCCUGUAAGUGAACAGAUGAUGCAGCAACCAGUAUGUGCCCUGGAAGGUGCCAAUCUUGAUCUUGCUGAGGCACAUCCCUUAAAUGAAGACCCAUCUUCUACCAGCUAUUCUCAAGUUCCUCCUUUUAUGGGCAGAUUAUUGCUUGAUGGUGUGGAAUCAGGAUAUUUGAACCCUGACAGUGUACCAGUGAAGCAGCAGCAGAAAAGUGCUUUGGAAUGUGCCAUUCUUGAUCUUACUGGCGUGCAUUCCGGAAAGGAGGACCAAUCUCCGACCAGUUCACUUGAAGUACCUAAUCCUACCAGCAUACUAUUGGUUGAAAGGGAUACACUGCACACUGUAGAAGAUACUGAAAGACUAACGAGACCUGACAGUUCUUCAGAUCGGAUCAUCACUCGGAGUUCUGUGUCUUUUGUACAACAGUGCUCUGAUUCUCAUGUUUCACAUCCUCCAUACAGUCAAACUUUGCAGUCACCUACCCAACUAGGCGAUACUAUUUUUGGGGCUCCUGCAUCAUCACGAAUAUUGCCGGACAGUCUGUUAGAGGAGUCCGACAGUGAGGACCUCUCACAUUCACCCGUAAUUAAGNNNGAUAACGAAUGCUCCAAAUUGGAGUCCACUGAUUGCCCAGACCAGGUUCAACCUCAGACUAUAGAAGAUACUGAAAGAAUGACGAGACCUAACAGUUCUUCAGAUCGGGUCGUCACUGGGAGUUCUGUGUCUUUCGAACAACAGUGCUCUGAUUCUCAUGUUUCACAUCCUCCAUACAGUGAAACUCUGCAGUCACCUACCCAACUAGCUGAUACUAGUUUUGGGGCUCAUGCGCCAUCACAAAUAUUGCUGGAUAGUUUGUUAGAGGAGGCCGACAGUGAGGACCUCUCACAUUCACCUGUAAAUGAUGUGGAUAACCACUGCUCCCAAUUGGAGUCUGCUGAAUGCCCUGAGCAGCUUCAACCUCAGAUUGGUCCUUUGGGCGAUGCUUGUAAAACAAGCCUCUCUCCUUAUGAAAUACAAAGUAAUGACACACAUUCCAAUGGUUGUGCUGUUGUAAAUGUCUCUGUAUCUGAAGAAAAUCACUUAUCUCAGGAGCAACAUUUGUUGGCCAGAACAUCUUUAGAAUUCAAGGAGACCGAUGUGGAGACUCCCUUUGGCCCUGCUUCCCCGGUCACACAAAAUGAGACGCUCAAUGGGAAGGCAGCAUAUGAUGCGGUCAACUGCCAUUCAGGAAAGUUGGAUGAUGUUCAGUUAAAAUUUUCAGCUUUGACCAAAGCAUGCAACAUUUCUGUCAGCAACAAAGAAGACGAGUCUGUAGUGCCAGAAGUUAUGAGCAGUGCUUCAGCUAGGAGAACCAGCGAAAUGCACUCAACUGAAAGGAACAGUAUGACUUCGGCCGAAGAUCUGCAAAAAAAUGGAACAGAACAAAAGACCUCUCUUCUUGAGAAUGCUGUUAAAGAAAAUGGUAAUUCAUGUACAGCAGAAAACGAUAAACAGAAAUUUUCACAACCUUCUGUUCAGUACUUCUUACAUAGUGCAGUAUCACAUGAGAAAAUCAAUCCGCUCAAGUCAGACAGAAGCAGUGUUGCUUGUGACCAGAAGAGAUCUGUUCAAGAUGGAGUUAAAGUAAAUGAUAGUUUGUCAUCUAAAAGGAGAAGAAUAAGGCACCGAUCAGACUUUGACCUUUCCAGGACACCUUGCACAAAUUCAGUGUCUCUGAACCACCAAGUUGACAUUGCUGGUCCUAUGUUAACUGCGACAAAUUUCUCGGAGAAAUCCCAUCCUUCGAGUCCUUACUUCUCAAGGAGUUCAGGAUCCUGCAAGAGCAUGUCUCUGGUGUCAGAGGGGGGAAAUGCUGCAAGUGACGUUUAUGGAAAUGGGAAUUCUUCAUGGGGAAGAAGAAAUGCAACUAGCCUAUUAAAUGUUGUCCUUGAUAACUCUCCUACUGCAAGCACCAGCAGGAGUGCAUUGGAGGGAAGGAUCUUCAAAACUUCUCAAGAACAGAAACAAAAUAAGUUGGAAGUUGAGUUUCUGACAACGACUGCUGCUUUGCCUUAUUGCUCUGGCAUCCUAUCUCAUAACGAGGAAAGCUGCACACAACAGGAAGGUACUUGCUUAGAAGGUCAAGACCUAAAUGUCACUGCUGCAAGUGUGGCAGACCAGGAAACGGCUCUUGAGACGGACAACUUAUCAUCUCCUAUUGCAAUAUUAAAUCAAGAAAAUUAUUCUGGAACAGAACCAUUUACUCAAUUCCCGAGUUAUGCUUUAGAUCAACAUGGUGAACAAGCAUCUGCUCCGAAUGCACUGUUUCAUGGGAAAUUAUGUUAUGGAUCGAAUGUUAAGCGUGGUAGGAUAUAUAAAAGUUAUGAUCCAAAGGGACAUUUGCUGCCUGGUGCUGCUAUUUCAAUGCCAGUAUUCGAGAGAUUUGAUGUUCCUGGCCAAUUUGACAGCCCAAUUAUCGGAAAAAGGUCAUUUGAGUCCCUUCACGAUUCUUGCCAAUUAGGCACCAUCAGCUCAGGUCCUCCAAACAAGUAUAAUACCAACACAGCGAGUAGUUUGCAUCAGCUAUUGACAACUAUGUCACCAAGAAACAGUCGCGGCAUUAUGGACUCUUUCGGAUAUGGAUCGGAACUUGAUUCGUUUUUCAUUUCUGAUGACGUAGCCUCGUGCUCUUCAAAUGCCAGCAGCAGACAAGAGAUUAAUGAAACUCCAUUGACUCCAUCAGUUGAAAAAUAUAGCCUCCAGAAAAUUUCAUUAAGACCUGGAUCUGGUUCAGAACAUAUGGGUUCUAUUCCUGAACUUAAAAUCUUCCGAAUUGAUGAAGAUAACAGCAUUCUGGAAGAAGAUGAAUACCAAGACAUGGCUCCUGGAUCUGUGGAUGUGAAUUACUCAUGCCAGCGGCCCUCUGAGAGAACAGCACUUCAGGAUAUUACUGGAUUAUGUCAAAACAAUGGAAAUUCUCCGUCUCUUUCGAUGAGAUGCAUGGAUAAAGGUAACAGCAUAGGCUUUAGUGCAGAAUCUGUCAGUAGUGAGCUCACUCAUCAUUCAAAUAUAAAAAAUGAUAGCAUUAAGCGAAAAUACAAUCAUCCUACUUCAGUUAAGAGAGAAGGGAAAGCAUCCCGUUCUCUUCAUGGCAGAUUAGGUACGACAGAAAUAAUCAGUAGCACAAAUGGAAGACACAGGAGUGAAGCAAAUGUUGACAAACAAGGCAUGGCAGAACUAAAGAGCAGAAAUGGAAGACACAGGAGUGAAGCCAAUGUUGAUAGACAAUCUAAGCCUAGCAACAUUGUUGCCAAUGUGACAUCUUUUGUACCUCUGGUAAAACAAAAGUUGCAAUCUACAACAGUGUGCGUUAAAAAAGAUGUCAAGGUGAAGGCACUUAAGGCAGCUGAAGCUGCAAAACGUCUUGAAGAGAAGAAACAAAAAGAGCAAGAAAAACGCAAAGCGGCUGCAAAAGCAGAGCGUGAAAGACUGAAGCAAGAGAAGGAAUUAAAACAAAAACUUGAAGAGGAGCAAAAGAAGAAACGAGAACUUGAUGCGGCCGCUAAGAAGCGGCAGAGGGAAGAAGGAGAAAAGCGGGAAACAAUGAAAAAAAGAAAAUGCAUGGAUGAAGCUCGAAAGCAACAGAAGCAGCCUAUGGAAAAACAACGAGGCAUGAAGGAUGAGAAAGACGCUCGUCAAAAAGCUUCUGAUAAUAUGGAGCCAAGGAAGAAUUUGGUCGAUGUAGGCAAAAACCAAGUUAAAUCUGACGAGACUACUGAACAUGCCCUUCGAUACAAGGCCAAUGAAAGUAAGGAUGAGAAAGGUGUUGCAGUAGAUGACAGGAAUGCAAGUUUUGGAUCUGAUGCUAAGGAAAAUAUCCUGAACAGUCUUGAGGAGUCCUACACAAUGACUCCGUAUAAAGAUUCUGAUGAUGAGGAUGAUGAUGAUUAUGACGAACAUGAACAAGAAGCAAGGCGCAGAAGGAAACUUGUUCCUUCUUGGGCUCGAAAAGAAAACUUGGAUAAUAUCUUACUAUCCAAUAAAACAUUAGACGCUAGAGAAAUUUUUGCACGGAAGCUGUCCUUCAACAUACCUGAAGUCCUUUCGGCGGCCGUUCCGCAGCGCGGCUUAAGAUAG
rnacentral:rRNA from 1 species